rnacentral:rRNA from 1 species
UACGAAGGGGGCUAGCGUUGCUCGGAAUCACUGGGCGUAAAGCGCACGUAGGCGGAUCGCUAAGUCAGGGGUGAAAUCCUGGAGCUCAACUCCAGAACUGCCCUUGAUACUGGCGAUCUCGAGUCCGGGAGAGGUGAGUGGAACUGCGAGUGUAGAGGUGAAAUUCGUAGAUAUUCGGAAGAACACCAGUGGCGAAGGCGACUUACUGGACACAUAUUGACGCUGAGGUGCGAAAGCGUGGGGAGCAAACAGG